CAAAUGUUCAGGUCCAAGCCUCUGAAAACAGGCUGAAAUACGGUCAUGAGUCUACUUAGUAUAACUCCUCUUUCUUAAACUAAGAGGUACGUCUUAGUCUCUGUGAAUAAUUUGCAAUUAAAAGAAAGCCAGCAACAGCUAAAUCCACAGCCAUUAAUUUUGGCAAGAAGCGUGGAAUGUGCUCACAGCGUACUGCUGCUUGGUCAAAGGGGGAGCGCUUAAAAGUUGCUCAGAGAAAGUGCCUGCAGGAAAACCUGCCUGUGCCUCCUCUCCAAAGCGGCUGUAUUUGGAAUAUGAAAAUCUGGUCUCUGGAGAACGGGAGAAGAAAAACAGAGAAGCCACAUCCCAUGCAAUUUCAGCUGACUGCCAAACUCAUAAAGUUACUGAAACAGGAUGAUGCAGGACUGUAA
rnacentral:lncRNA from 1 species